rnacentral:rRNA from 1 species
AGAGUUUGAUUCUGGCUCAGAACGAACGCUGGCAGCGUGGAUUAGGCAUGCAAGUCGAACGUGAAGCCAAUGAACAAUCUUUCGGGAGAGUGAUUUGGUGGAAAGUGGCGAAAGGGUGAGUAACGCGUGGGUAAGCUACCCUGAAGUUUGGGACAACCCGCCGAAAGGCGGGCUAAUACCGAAUGUGGUCACUGGAUGCAUAUCCGGAUGACUAAAGGUGGGGAUCUUUCGGGACCUGCCGCUUUUGGCGGUGCCCGCGUGCCAUCAGCUUGUUGGUAGGGUAACGGCCUACCAAGGCUUACGGCUAGCCGGCCUGAGAGGGUGACCGGCCACACUGGGACUGAGACACUGCCCAGACUCCUACGGGAGGCUGCAGUCGAGGAUCAUUCGCAAUGCGCGAAAGCGUGACGAUGCGACGCUGCGUGGAGGAUGAAGGCCUUCGGGUCGUAAACUCCUGUCAUGAGGGAACAGCCAUUCUACUCCUAAUACGAGUAGGACUCGAUGGUACCUCAAGAGGAAGCCACGGCUAACUCUGUGCCAGCAGCCGCGGUAAUACAGAGGUGGCGAGCGUUGUUCGGAUUUACUGGGCUAAAGGGUGCGUAGGUGGUUUCGUAUGUCGGAUGUGAAAGCCCAUGGCUCAACCGUGGAAUUGCAUUCGAAACUGCGGAACUAGAGUGCAGGAUGGGAGAGCGGAAUUCUUGGUGUAGCGGUGAAAUGCGUUGAUAUCAAGAAGAACACCGGUGGCGAAGGCGGCUCUCUGGAAUGUCACUGACACUGAGGCACGAAAGCUGGGGGAGCAAACAGGAUUAGAUACCCUGGUAGUCCCAGCCGUAAACGGUGCACACUUGGUGUGGGGAGAUUUAACCCUCUCCGUGCCGGAGCUAACGCGUUAAGUGUGCCGCCUGGGGAGUACGGCCGCAAGGCUAAAACUCAAAGAAAUUGACGGGGGCCCGCACAAGCGGAGGAGCAUGUGGCUUAAUUCGAUGCAACGCGAAGAACCUUACCAGGGCUUGACAUAUACCUGCACGCCCCUCGAAAGGGGGGAAGCCUUUGAGGGUGGUAUACAGGUGCUGCAUGGCUGUCGUCAGUUCGUGCUGUGAGGUGUUGGGUUAAGUCCCGUAACGAACGCAACCCUUGUGGUUAGUUGCCACCGGCGGUGAUGAGCCGUCGAGCACUCUAGCCAGACUGCCCGUACAAGCGGGAGGAAGGUGGGGAUGACGUCAAGUCAGUAUGGCCCUUACGCCCUGGGCUGCACACGUGCUACAAUGGACGGUACAAUGGGCUGCAAUACCGCGAGGUGGAGCAAAUCCGGAAAACCGUCCUCAGUUCGGAUUGGAGUCUGCAACUCGACUCCAUGAAGUUGGAUUCGCUAGUAACGGCGCAUCAGCUACGGCGCCGUGAAUACGUUCCCGGGCCUUGUACACACCGCCCGUCACAUCAUGAAAGCCGUCUGCACCCGAAGUCGCUGAUCCAACCCGCAAGGGAGGAAGGUGCCGAAGGUGUGGGUGGUGAUUGGGAUGAAGUCGUAACAAGGUA